GAUGAACGCUGGCGGCGUGCCUAAUACAUGCAAGUCGAGCGAACAGACGAGGAGCUUUCUCCUCUGACGUUAGCGGCGGACGGGUGAGUAACACGUGGAUAACCUACCUAUAAGACUGGGAUAACUUCGGGAAACCGGAGCUAAUACCGGAUAAUAUAUUGAACCGCAUGGUUCAAUAGUGAAAGACGGUUUUGCUGUAACUUAUAGAUGGAUCCGCGCCGCAUUAGCUAGUUGGUAAGGUAACGGCUUACCAAGGCAACGAUGCGUAGCCGACCUGAGAGGGUGAUCGGCCACACUGGAACUGAGACACGGUCCAGACUCCUACGGGAGGCAGCAGUAGGGAAUCUUCCGCAAUGGGCGAAAGCCUGACGGAGCAACGCCGCGUGAGGGAUGAAGGUCUUCGGAUCGUAAAACUCUGUUAGUAGGGAAGAACAAAUGUGUAAGUAACUAUGCACGUCUUGACGGUACCUAAUCAGAAAGCCACGGCUAACUACGUG
rnacentral:rRNA from 1 species